GAUGAACGCUGGCGGCGUGCUUAACACAUGCAAGUCGAACGGAAAGGCCCAAGCUUGCUUGGGUACUCGAGUGGCGAACGGGUGAGUAACACGUGGGUGAUCUGCCCUGCACUUCGGGAUAAGCCUGGGAAACUGGGUCUAAUACCGGAUAGGACCACUUCUUGGAUGUUGUGGUGGAAAGUUUUUUCGGUGUGGGGUGAGCUCGCGGCCUAUCAGCUUGUUGGUGGGGUAAUGGCCUACCAAGGCGUCGACGGGUAGCCGGCCUGAGAGGGUGUACGGCCACAUUGGGACUGAGAUACGGCCCAGACUCCUACGGGAGGCAGCAGUGGGGAAUAUUGCACAAUGGGCGCAAGCCUGAUGCAGCGACGCCGCGUGGGGGAUGACGGCCUUCGGGUUGUAAACUCCUUUCGCUAGGGACGAAGCGUUUUGUGACGGUACCUGGAGAAGAAGCACCGGCUAACUACGUG
rnacentral:rRNA from 1 species